UGGGGAAUAUUGCGCAAUGGGCGAAAGCCUGACGCAGCGACGCCGCGUGAGGGAUGAAGGUCUUCGGAUCGUAAACCUCUGUCAGAAGGGAAGAAAGCAGCGCGCGCUAAUCAGCGCGUUGUUGACGGUACCUUCAAAGGAAGCACCGGCUAACUCCGUGCCAGCAGCCGCGGUAAUACGGAGGGUGCAAGCGUUAAUCGGAAUCACUGGGCGUAAAGCGCACGUAGGCUGUUGUGUAAGUCAGGGGUGAAAGCCCACGGCUCAACCGUGGAAUUGCCCUUGAUACUGCAUGACUAGAAUCC
rnacentral:rRNA from 1 species